GAGAAAAACAUUGGAAUCAUUUAGUCUAGGAUCUACGAUUUUUGAAUUACGAAUGUAGAUGUUUGCUAUACAUUACUUACAUACAUUACUUAUUAAAUGUUUAUCUUUUUAAUCUAUAAAAUCUAAAGGAAUUACAAAUUGUUCAAAAAUUGAACAAUAUUGUAGAAAUUCACAUCCAUUGACAUAAACGAUUGGACAUGUAUUUCCUUAUUUUUGCCAUAAAAUUGUCUGUCCAAAGCUCAUUAAAAUGACCGAGUGAGUUACUCUAACAAGUAUCGUGAAACGCAUUUCUUUGCGUUUGGAAACGUUCAGAAAAUCUGAACAUCAGCUAUCUAUGCAUCAAAUGAACAGGCAAUCACUACUUCACGAAAACAAUAUAUACAUCCAAGCGUAUAUAUGAAAAUCAGUGUAAAGUACGAGCUUCUCUUUUGCCGCAAAUUUUGAAGAGUGCUACAGUACUAAAUCUUUUUUUCGUGAAAAAUGUUGAAAACAGCAUUUACGCCAGCGAUGAGAAUAGACGUAAUUCUUAACCGAUUUUGAUGACCAAGGUCUCAUUUUAAAGGCGAAGGUUUAAUUUUAAAUCGGUUUCACUUUCCGAAUUUUUGAAAAAUUUUAUAUUUAUAAAUAAACUAUUCCCGAAAAAAUACCAUUUUUUAACACGAUUUUCAGAAGAAAUGAAGAAAAUAAAGGAAUCAAGAAAAUGAAGAUUUUUCAAAAAUUCAAAAAGUAGGAUUGGUAGAUUAAACUUUCGUCUUUAAAAUGAGACCUUAUUCAUUAAAAUCGGUUAAGAAUUACGUCUGUUCUCAUCGCUGGCGUAAACCAUUAUAAAGCUAGCUAGGGGUGAUGAACAGCCUAUAGAAAUGCGGUCAUAUAAAUCAUGCUAUUAUUCAAAGAAGGAUAUUUCAUAAGAGAAAUUGUAGAAAAGUAGUAGUUUUAAAGUUUUGCGUAAGCUACUGUGUUCAAAAAUACGUUGCUGCGGAAGAUUGUUUAUCCAAAAAAAGAUUUGGAAAGACGAGAAAAACGACCCAGACGGAAGAUCAACACGUUGUAAUUAUCAGUAAGAAAAAUAGAAAAAAUACAGAGAUAACUGAAGCAAAAGUUAAUACGUCCAAAAAUAUGACGAUUUUGGUAUCAACAGUUAAAAAGACAUCUUAAAGAGGAUGACCUUUGUGUCGCGGUAAAGAAACCAUUUUUGAGGGAACAAAAUAAAAAGAAAAGACUUCAGUGAGCCAUGUAUCAUAAAAAUUGAAUAUUGGAAAAGUUAUGAAAGGUAUUGUGGACCGAUGAAUUUAUGUUUGAAAUGUUGGGUCUAAGCGGCUUGUUUUUGUUCGUUGGUAAAUGCAUGAAAAAUUAAAUAACGAUGGUCUGUUACUCAUUAUUAAAUAAAAUGGCCCUUCUUUUAUGAUAUGAGAAUGCUUUAGCAAUAAUUUGAUCGGAGAUUUAAUAAAAAUUAAGGGUAUUCUAAAGAAAAAAACUUAUUUAAAGAUUUUAAUUUUUAAAAGAGAGGCAAUUUCAUUUGAACAAUGCCUAAUUUGUAAUCAUUUUAUAUUUAUGCAGACAACGACUCAAAAUAUAAAGCUAUAAUAUAUAUGAACUAUUUAAAAGAAUUAGAAAGAUUCUAAUUUAAAAAUAAUGGAUUGGCCAUUCCAAUCUCCUGAUUUGAACCCCAUUGAAAAACUGUGAGAUCACUUGGCGGACAGGUUAGAAAAUGGAAUCUUUGGAAUUUUUGGGAAAUUUUGAUAAAGAUGGUGAGAUUUUAUGAGAAUAAAGUGCCCACAUACUUAUGAGCAGUAGUGUACAUAAAUUCCCAUCAAUGGUAAUUAAAAAUAAUAUGAGAAAGAAUGUAAAAUUUACAUCAAUGGUUGCAAAUGUAUUAAGCAUUUAUAUUUUUCUUCUUUACAAAAUAUUAAAAAAUAUAUGAUAUUAAAAAAUAUUUUUAUAUUUAUAAUUAUUAUGUAUAAUUCAUAUUUAUGUAUAAUAUAUAAUUAUAUUUAUA